rnacentral:lncRNA from 1 species
AUUUUUAACUGAAUAUUUACGAAAGCUGAAAGCGUGCGAGGGGGGUGGGGUGGAAAUAGCGGCUGCUUCUUUUCCAAGGAUUUAUUUAAUGGGGAUGUGUUCAAGGCAAGACCGAAUUCAGAAGGAUAUCGACGUCGUGAUCCAGAAGUCCAGAGCUGAGGACUGCCUGUUUGCAGGACAACUGUGCAGACUACAAAGCUUCGGAAAACCGGAGAGGCUGAGUCGACUAAUCGUGUUGUUCCACGUUAGAAACGCUUGCAUUGCCUGACUCUGAAACCAGAAGGGCGGCCGAAUGGCCUUCACCCUCCGUUAACCCUCGCCUGCUUCAGAAGCUAGUGCCUCUGGAAAUGCCUGGAUCUGCGACCCCAGCCUGAGCCUAGUAGGGCCCAAGGGAAGCUGAACGCCCCGACGGCUCUCAUGGGCACCGGCAACAGUUUUCCGUUUGUGCCUACUCCACCUGCUGUCUUUGUUGGGUCAGCGAACAUCGCCUCCCUCUACCGCUCAAUCAGCAAAAGGGACCGCCCUUGAGGACCUCACCCGCCGCUCACUCCCCUCCCAAAUUCGCGGGCAUCGCCUCCGGUCGCCUCUUC